GGGAAGCCAGACUGUUUGAAGAGCCAGGCCUAGGCGAUUUUGAUCAAAAUCGGCCUUUUUGUUUGCGAAUUUUAAAACGUUGCUUUCCGUAUUCCCGUGUUUCUGUGUUUCAAAAAGGCUGUGCAAAGGUUACAAGUGCUAGUGUUGGUCAUAGUGCUGGACAUCUAAUUGAUCCUGUGUUGUGUUUACAGUCUAACACAACAGCAUCUCUAUCGGACUGGGGUCUUGUUACAGCAGAUGUGCUUUUGUGAGUCCAUAGUUCCCCUGAGGACCACCACCCUUCCCUGAUUGGUCUGCCUUCCCCCACUUCGGCGUCCCCAUCCAUCUCUAAAUAAGGAAGCAGAGGGAUGAAGAAGGAAACAGGGUGAACUGAAUAAGAAUGGAAGCAAAGGGGAAUCCAGAGCCUGCUUCAGGUCUGUGACAGCUAUGCCCUAAAAAGGUAAUCCAGUCUGUGGGCAUGAUGGGAGGGGCACUGAAGUAAAGAGAGAGGCAGAAGCACAGGCCAGGUAACAACUGUCUCCCUCUUGGAGCCGGUUGUCCUAACCAAUUAGCUGCGGCCUUGUUUUACUUUAUGACUGUGUAAAUAUAUAUGGGGAAGCCAUCUAAAUAGCUGUCCCAUCGACCAUUGUGACCAUUGUAUUACAGGUAAGCACUACCCUUGUCCCACCUAUGCCUUUAAGGCAUGUUGCAAUGCCAAAAAAGGCAAUUGAAAGUUGACAGCAGGGAUUGGCAAAACACGUCUGGAAAUUUUGAUCCCGUCUUUCCCUCUGUCUCUCUCUCUCUCUAUUUUCUCUUUUCACUGUCUCUGUCUCUCUGCUCCUCAUUUCUUCUCUCAGAACGAGGGAUUAGUGUACAGAUAUGAUGAAAAAUAUGUGUUUGACCAGCUAUAUUCACAGAACCUGUACUGUGAACAUUAAGGCUUCCAAAAUAAGAUGAUAUUUCCAGAAUGGAUGGAAUAUUUGGGUCAGAUGUUCAGCUCAAGGGAAGAGCAUGCUGAAAUGACACAUUUACCAUAUUCAAAUAUUUGUUUGUGUUUCCAGUGAUUUCUAUCUGUGAUGAACACAGAAGCUAUCUUGAGCAAAACUUGUUAAUGGCAAAUUGUAAUUGGAGUCAAGUGUGAUCUCAAAAAAAAAAAUUAUUGUAAUUUAUCAACUGUGUGUUGAAGUUUUUAUUUUAGUAGCAACAUAUAUUUUAAUUUCAUAUCGGUUAUAUGUACUGGUUUGUUGAAAAAGAAAAAAAACGUGGGCCAAGACUUGGUUCUGUUCACCAGCUGAUUUGAAGGAGCAAGACCUGAGAAGUGAGCUCACAGUCAAUUGUUAGAGAGGGUUUAAGAUGACUAAAUGAUUGCUGAAGUUUAGUAUACAUCUCCAGAGAGGAGUCUGAUGUUUAACUGGAUGGAUAUUACAUUCUGAUUAAACAUUAUCUAUAAGCUUUAAACAUUCAAUGUGCAGGAAUAAAUUGUUCAUAGCAAGGUCAAUU